GACCCUGUGGUGAAGUUCAUGGUGAGUUGCAAGCUCAUUGAUGUGCGCAAGAGCGUGCCAGGGUCU
rnacentral:tRNA from 4 species